CACUGAUGCAAUAUUUACUUGUGACAUUUCAUCAUUUCUCAGGAUCAACGUUUGGUGGGGAUAAACAAGCACCUUCAUCCCCAACAGAAUGCAAAGGUAUGUAUAGUUAUAGUUGAGACCUGAAAGUUCUUUUGUUUGCACAUGUUCAGCAAGUGAUGUUAAAUGAUGUUUGAUGUCUACUCUGUUGAUUAUUAUUUUACUGUAUCUGCAGAUAAUUCAGCUGUAAGUGACCUGUCUGAAUUUGAAGACCACAAAGAAACUUUGUGUCAGCAUAGGUCAGGGGGUAAUGGUGACAGACCUCAGGCACUACAUGCCAACAUCUCCACAGAUCGCAUUCUGCCAGGACCACAUGACAUUUCACAGUCUCGGGCAGCAGGACCAACACAGCCGCACUUGAAGGUGUUCCCUCGAACCAUGAAGGGCGACCGGAAAAGAGCUUUCAACAAAAUGUGGUACACACAACACCAAUGGCUGGAGUAUUCUGUAAGCCGAGACUCUGCAUAUUGUUUUCCGUGUCGACACUUUUCUCUCCCUGGUAUUCAAGAGACUUCAUUCACAUCAUCACUGGGCUAUUCUAACUGGAAGAAGGCAAUGUAUAAAGAUGGAGGUUUCAGGGGACAUGGAAAAUCUGAAAAUCAUGUUAAUGCCAUGAUAGCAUGGAAUGAACACAAAAAAAGAAUCUUGACAGACACUUCAGUGUUAAAUGCCCUCAAUAAGAAACACCAAGAAGUAGUCGAACAAAAUCGUACCUACAUUAAAACAGUUGCUGAGGUACUUUUGUUUACUGCAACGCAAAACAUUUCACAAAGGGGACUCGUCAAAAUGACUGAGAUGGCCAAUCAAAUCAAAGUAGGCGGGGUUUACUGUUGACAUAAGCAGAGCGUGAAGCGUCAGUAUAACAUUAAAGAGAGCGAGGUAAGAUGAAGCUGCAAAUCAUUUAAUAUUAGUCAGCUUUAACCAAUACGUUUAAUGAUAGAAAUGUUAAAUUACCGACAGCCAUGUCCAGUGAUGAAAACUAUAUGGCCGUUUUGAGAGAGAGAGCAGUGUUGUCUGCGUUUUGUGUCACUCUCUAUAAACAAUGAAGCUGAGUUUUUGUUAUUAAAAAAAAAAAAACAGCGAUUUUACCCCCCUCGUUGCUGAGAAAUAUGUAGCGAUUCAGUAUCGAUUAAUAAAAGUCGCGUGGCAGCGCA
ensembl:lncRNA